ACGAACGCUGGCGGCGUGCUUAACACAUGCAAGUCGAACGGAAAGGCCCCUGCUUGCAGGGGUACUCGAGUGGCGAACGGGUGAGUAACACGUGGGUGAUCUGCCCUUCACUUCGGGAUAAGCCUGGGAAACUGGGUCUAAUACCGGAUAGGACCAAUCUUUAGUGUGGUUGGUGGAAAGUUUUUUCGGUGGAGGAUGAGCCCGCGGCCUAUCAGCUUGUUGGUGGGGUAAUGGCCUACCAAGGCGACGACGGGUAGCCGGCCUGAGAGGGUGGACGGCCACAUUGGGACUGAGACACGGCCCAGACUCCUACGGGAGGCAGCAGUGGGGAAUAUUGCACAAUGGGCGGAAGCCUGAUGCAGCGACGCCGCGUGAGGGAUGACGGCCUUCGGGUUGUAAACCUCUUUCGCUAGGGAAGAAGCCUUCGGGUGACGGUACCUGGAUAAGAAGCACCGGCUAACUACGUGC
rnacentral:rRNA from 1 species